GGCCAGACUCCUACGGGAGGCAGCAGUGGGGAAUAUUGCACAAUGGGGGAAACCCUGAUGCAACGACGCCGCGUGAGUGAAGAAGUAUUUCGGUAUGUAAAGCUCUAUCAGCAGGGAAGAUAAUGACGGUACCUGAGUAAGAAGCCCCGGCUAACUACGUGCCAGCAGCCGCGGUAAUACGUAGGGGGCAAGCGUUAUCCGGAUUUACUGGGUGUAAAGGGAGCGUAGACGGCAUGGCAAGUCUGAAGUGAAAGCCCGGGGCUCAACCGCGGGACUGCUUUGGAAACUGUUAAGCUGGAGUGCAGGAGAGGUAAGUGGAAUUCCUAGUGUAGCGGUGAAAUGCGUAGAUAUUAGGAGGAACACCAGUGGCGAAGGCGGCUUACUGGACUGUAACUGACGUUGAGGCUCGAAAGCGUGGGGAGCAAACAGGAUUAGAUACCCUGGUAC
rnacentral:rRNA from 1 species